CCUACGGGAGGCAGCAGUGAGGAAUAUUGGUCAAUGGCCGGAAGGCUGAACCAGCCAUGCCGCGUGAAGGUCAGUGCCCUAUGGGCGUUAAACUUCUUUUGUGCGGGAGCAAUAAUGGUCACGUGUGGCCAGACGAGAGUACCGUACGAAUAAGCAUCGGCUAACUCCGUGCCAGCAGCCGCGGGAAUACGGGGGAUGCAAGCGUUAUCCGGAUUUAGUGGGUUUAAAGGGUGCGUAGGCUGUGAGGUAAGUCAGCGGUGAAAUGCCCCCGCUCAACGGGGUGAAGUGCCAUUGAUACUGCUUUGCUGGAAUGCGGAUGCCGUAGGAGGAAUGUGUGGUGUAGGGGUAAAAUGCAUAGAGAUCACACAGAACACGGAUUGCGAAGGCAUCUCACGAAUCCGCGAUUGACGCUGAUGCACGAAAGCGUGGGUAUCAAACAGGAUUAGAUACCCUAGUAGUC
rnacentral:rRNA from 1 species